rnacentral:rRNA from 1 species
GUGGGGAAUCUUGCGCAAUGGGCGAAAGCCUGACGCAGCCAUGCCGCGUGAAUGAUGAAGGUCUUAGGAUUGUAAAAUUCUUUCACCGGGGACGAUAAUGACGGUACCCGGAGAAGAAGCCCCGGCUAACUUCGUGCCAGCAGCCGCGGUAAUACGAAGGGUGCAAGCGUUAUCCGGAUUCAUUGGGUUUAAAGGGUGAGUAGGCGGAGCGUUAAGUCAGUGGUGAAAUCCUGCAGCUUAACUGUAGACUUGCCAUUGAUACUGGCGCUCUUGAGUGCGAUUGAAGUGGGCGGAAUGUUCCGUGUAGCGGUGAAAUGCUUAGAUAUGGCACAGAACACCAAUUGCGAAGGCAGCUCACUAAGGCGAUACUGACGCUGAGGCACGAAAGCGUGGGGAUCGAACAGGAUUAGAUACCCUAGUAGUCC